UAUCUCUCUAAGCCCUUCUACGGUGGAGGCAUUGAUAUGCUCCUCUAGUUGGAUUCGAGGUGCACAUGAUGGGAGUUUUACAUAUGUGGAGCAAGAGGACGAUGUUGAAAACAUUUCAUUUCCAAAAAGUUUGGUGGAGAGCAACUAGAUUAUCCUUUUCAACAGCAUGGAUGAACUGUUCUGUAAUCUACUUUUUAGUUUUUGGAUGAAGAACUAUGCAAAUGCAACUAUGCAAGUAUCUGUUCUGUUUAGACUUUAGACAAUAUAUGCUAUCAU